rnacentral:rRNA from 1 species
AUUGAACGCUGCGGCAUGCUUUACACAUGCAAGUCGGACGGCAGCACAGAGAAGCUUGCUUCUUGGGUGGCGAGUGGCGAACGGGUGAGUAAUAUAUCGGAACGUACCGAGUAAUGGGGGAUAACUAAUCGAAAGAUUAGCUAAUACCGCAUAUUCUCUGAGGAGGAAAGCAGGGGACCUUUGGGCCUUGCGUUAUUCGAGCGGCCGAUAUCUGAUUAGCUAGUUGGUGGGGUAAAGGCCCACCAAGGCGACGAUCAGUAGCGGGUCUGAGAGGAUGAUCCGCCACACUGGGACUGAGACACGGCCCAGACUCCUACGGGAGGCAGCAGUGGGGAAUUUUGGACAAUGGGCGCAAGCCUGAUCCAGCCAUGCCGCGUGUCAGAAGAAGGCCUUCGGGUUGCAAAGGACUUUUGUCAGGGAAGAAAAGGACAGGGUUAAUACCCCUGUCUGAUGACGGUACCUGAAGAAUAAGCACCGG